rnacentral:rRNA from 1 species
UACGUAGGGUGCGAGCGUUGUCCGGAAUUAUUGGGCGUAAAGAGCUUGUAGGCGGUUUGUCGCGUCUGCUGUGAAAAUUCGGGGCUCAACCCCGGACUUGCAGUGGGUACGGGCAGACUAGAGUGUGGUAGGGGAGACUGGAAUUCCUGGUGUAGCGGAGAAAUGCGCAGAUAUCAGGAGGAACACCGAUGGCGAAGGCAGGUCUCUGGGCCACUACUGACGCUGAGAAGCGAAAGCAUGGGGAGCGAACAGG